ACAUGGACAGGUGAGAUACAGGUGAGAGACAGGUGAGACAUGGACAGGUGAGACAGGUGAGACAUGGACAGGUGAGACAGGUGAGACAUGGACAGGUG
rnacentral:lncRNA from 1 species